UACGUAGGGUGCGAGCGUUUGUCCGGAAUUAUUGGGCGUAAAGGGCUCGUAGGCGGUCUGUCGCGUCGAUCGUGAAAACUUGGGGCUUAACCCUGAGCUUGCGGUCGAUACGGGCAUGACUGGAGUUCGGCAGGGGAGACUGGAAUUCCUGGUGUAGCGGUGAAAUGCGCAGAUAUCAGGAGGAACACCGGUGGCGAAGGCGGGUCUCUGGGCCGAUACUGACGCUGAGGAGCGAAAGCGUGGGGGAGCGAACAGG
rnacentral:rRNA from 1 species